ACCUUCGGGCCUUGCGCUAUCAGAUGAGCCUAGGUCGGAUUAGCUAGUUGGUGAGGUAAUGGCUCACCAAGGCUACGAUCCGUAACUGGUCUGAGAGGAUGAUCAGUCACACUGGAACUGAGACACGGUCCAGACUCCUACGGGAGGCAGCAGUGGGGAAUAUUGGACAAUGGGCGAAAGCCUGAUCCAGCCAGGCCGCGUGUGUGAAGAAGGUCUUCGGAUUGUAAAGCACAGGAAGUUGGGAGGAAGGGCAUU
rnacentral:rRNA from 1 species